rnacentral:lncRNA from 10 species
CUUGAUCAACGCAGAAGACAGGUGAUUUCUGCAUUUCCAUCUGAGAGGCUUGGAGACCAGCAAAUAUCAAUUUACUGCUACCCUGGGGCACAAGGCAAGGAGCCACCUGUACACUCCACUGCCAACAAACCAGACUCAAGCUUCUACUCUGGCUGAGUUACUUCUUUGGAAAUUUGGAGACAGCAAGAGGUUGACAACAGAUUUGCUCCUUUUCUGGUGGAGGGAGGACAAGUGGCCUCUCUGGGACCAUAUCACAAACUACUAAAUCAAAAAAAUCUGGAAUUCCCGCAUUGCCCAGCUCACAGUGGAGAAAUAAAUAGACCACUGGAUCAGAAGGCAGAACAUAUGGAUUCUGGCCCAAAAUGGACAGUCUGUUAGCCAAUAUCUGGGUUCCAGUGUCAACAUUUGUAAAAUAGGGGCUAAUCUUUCACAUGACAGACACGAAAUGUUUUUGAAAAGAAUGAAUUAAGUGAUGGAGUCAAGUGAUCUGUAUGGCAUGAGAGAACAUCAUUCUUAUAGUCAUUAUUACAACUCAGCCCUAUAAGUCCUAUUACAAUUAAUCCUGUAAGAACCAUUAGGAGUACCCACCAUAAGCCUCAGAAAAUGCCUUAUAACUGUACUGCCAGCACCCCCACAGCCUUGCUGGUCAGUGGCAACAGCAAAGUCGAAAUGCAACAUACACGUGUGAUUUGUUGGGCAUCUGAAUUGUGGGUGAAGAUCAUUUUGUUAUAACAAGGUUUACACCAAAAAACAAUCAAUUUCACAAAUAAAUAAAACAUUUUUGAGAAUCAGAAGGCAGAACUACAUUUCAAGGUUGCUCUACUGAGCCUGAGACUCUACCCGGAGUUACUGGAUCUCAGCCUGUAAUGAAUGAAAAAUUGUCCUGCUCCUUCCUUGCUGAGGAUGACGCUGAAAGACCACACCAAAGGAUGCAUGAGCUGAUUCACGCAGAGCCAGAGGGAGGAGCAAAUUAUCCAGAAAUAGCACUGCAGUCUGGUAUGCCAGUUUUGCUCCAGGCUUCACAUAGGCCGUUCUGUCCACAGUGCCCUCAGACAGUGGCUCUCCUCUGUGCUACCCACUCCUCUGCAGUGACCACAGCUCACCUUUCUCAGCCCUAUAAAACUGGAACCUUGACCUGUAAAUGGCAGAGCCAGGACUGGAAUCCAGGUCCAUCUACUUCCAAAGGAUCAUAACACCUUCCCAGUCUAUAAUUGGCUCCCGCUACAAGGGCCCAGACCCUCAGGGAUCCAGUUAGAGUCAACAGGACUUUGUGUGCAAAAGGAACUAUAUCUUAUUCUCUUUAAUCAAUCCUUGCCUUCAGCCACCUGGCCUUUCUGUGUUUCCAGAAUGCGGGCUUGUACUUGGAAAGGGAAGCCCUAAGGCUGCCCCCAGUCUAAAGAGGGCAUAAGGCUAGACUGGCCUGGGUAGUUUCACUCUUUCGUCAGGUGAAGAACCUUUUUCCUUUCCUCAGAAGUUCCAACUCCAAGAAAAAAAAAUCGAUUGAAAACACGUUCAAAAAAAAACUUAGUUUUAUUUUUUUCGUCAGGAGAUGUUUUCAAAAAAAUUCUGCUUGUCUGAUUUUGUAUUAGAAAGUAGGAGCAUAAACAAUGAUUUUUACAAGCCAUAAUAAUCGGUAACGUUUAUAAGCACUUUUUUAGUUCAGGUGCCAUAAUUUAUGCUAAGUGAUUUCCAUAAAUUGUCUCAAAUAAAUAAAUAAUCUGCAUAACAUUCUUCAUCCCUAUUUUACAGAUGAGAGACUGAGGCUUAGAGUAAUUUACCCAAGAUCGCACAGUAGGGGGUGCAGCUGAAAUUCCAAAGCCCCCAUACCACUCACAGCCCCACACUGGCUAUAUAGGCUCCAGGAUUCCUUCUCCAGAACCUACUAAAUAGCCUUUUAAAAAUUCCCUUUCUGAGAUAAAAAAGAAAUGUGGUAUACACAUACAAUGGAAUAUUAUUCAGUCAUUGAAAGGAAUGAAGUUUUGAUACAUGCUAUAACGCAGAUAAACCUUGAAGAUAUUAUGCUAAGUAAGCCAGAUACAAAAGAAUAAAUGUUGUAUAAUUCCACUUAUAUAAAAUAUCUAAAAUAAGCAAAUUCAUAGAAAAAGUAGAAUAUAGGUUACCAGGGGAUGAGGGUAUGGGGGCAUGGGAAAUUACUUUUUAAUUGGUACAGUUUCUGUUGGAGUAAUAAAACACUUCUUGAAAAUAGUAUUGAUGGUUGUACAACAUUAUGAAUGUAAUUAAUGCCAAUGAAUUAUACAUUUAAAAA